GGGUCAAUGAUGAGAUCUUUACAUUGUCUGUAGAUAGAUGAUGACUUCAAAAUCAUGCUCAAUAGGAUUAGGUUGAGGCCC
rnacentral:snoRNA from 1 species